AAAAACUUAAUUCCUAGGUUUCCAUGUCUAACAUUUGAUUGUCCGUCUUAUUUAAAAAAAAUAUAAAAAAAUUUAAAAAUAUAAGUUAUAUAUAAAGUAUUAUUCAUAUUUUAUCAUCUAACAGUAAUAAAAAUACUAAUCAUAAAAAUUUUAUAUAAGACGGACGUUCAAACGUUGGACACGGAAACCCAAGAAUUGAGUCUUU
rnacentral:pre_miRNA from 1 species